rnacentral:lncRNA from 1 species
UGGUGGUUGCAUUUCCUGUGAUGUUGCCUUCUACUUAAGAGCACGUGCCUGCCUGAGCCCCAGCAGUGUGUGGGCAGAGCUGACAGUCACUGAGUGAGUGGAGCAAACGCUGAAGCACUGAGAGAAAAUCUGCAGAGCAGCAGAACUUGCCCAGAAGGAUAUUCUGUGAGUGCAGCAAGUCAACUGGCAAGCACAGAACAGCCCCACCUGAGCCCAGAAAGUGGAUUUGGGAUUGCCCUGAGCUGCUUCCCAGUGCCUGCUGAGGAACACGGAGAAGUGCACUUUUAACACCCAGCAACAGAGAGUGAGAGCUGCUGCUGCUCAGAAGGCACAGAUUCCAUCUUAUAUGGUGAGUUAAAAUGGGAUUUUAACCUGGACUUGGAAAAGUUCAUUGUACACCAGAAAACUUAAGAGAAUACCGUGGCAAAAUCCCUUAAA